AUUGAGAGCCGCUGCUCUAAGGGAAAACAUAGUACUUUGUGAAUGUCGAGCGAAAGUGACGUCCAUGGAUACUCUUCAGGAGCCAAGCAGCAUUCCCCGUCUCCAUUGCUCCCCAGGAUAAAGAGAUUGCCCUCCUUCUAAUGGAAUUAUAGAGCUGGAGAACAUUGAGACAGAGAAGAGAGAAAACUGUGGAAAGGACAGGCCGGUUAACCUUCUCAUCUCGAGACCAGACGAGGAGCUCACAACCUUAAUCCCUCCAUAGUCCUGUGGAUUAGGCCGUCCUCUUAUCGCAGCUUUAAUGCGACGAGCU
ensembl:lncRNA